rnacentral:rRNA from 1 species
UACGGAGGGAGCUAGCGUUGUUCGGAAUUACUGGGCGUAAAAGCGCGCGUAGGCGGCUUUUGUAAGUUAGAGGUGAAAAGCCCGGGAGCUCAACUCCGGAACUGCCUUUAAAAACUGCAUCGCUUGAAUCCAGGAGAGGUGAGUGGAAUUCCGAGUGUAGAGGUGAAAAUUCGUAGAUAUUCGGAAGAACACCAGUGGCGAAGGCGGCUCAC